CAGCCGCCGCGGUAAUACAGAGGGUGCGAGCGUUAAUCGGAUUUACUGGGCGUAAAGCGUGCGUAGGCGGCUUCUUAAGUCGGAUGUGAAAUCCCUGAGCUUAACUUAGGAAUUGCAUUCGAUACUGGGAAGCUAGAGUAUGGGAGAGGAUGGUAGAAUUCCAGGUGUAGCGGUGAAAUGCGUAGAGAUCUGGAGGAAUACCGAUGGCGAAGGCAGCCAUCUGGCCUAAUACUGACGCUGAGGUACGAAAGCAUGGGGAGCAAACAGGAUUAGAUACCCGUGUAGUCCCUGUCUCUUAUAC
rnacentral:rRNA from 1 species